ensembl:lncRNA
GCCGGCGUUACGAAACAACGGAGGUGGCCCCGGGCUGGAAGCCGGAAAGAGAGGGCGACUGCGGCGGUGAUUCAGGCCCCUGCCCCCGCAGGCCUAUAGGUGCCGGGGGAGGCAGUCUGCUCAGCCCUGCACAGGACCAAGGGGCAAAGAAUGUGUUGGGCACGUGGAGGCGCACGUCCCUGGGCUGGGAACCUCUGAGGUGAAUUCUGGCUACGGCCCCGGGACAUCUCCAGGUCCCCGGCUCCCGAAAAACCUGGAGAAGGAACCUCGAGGGGUUGUGAUGUCGAGGCAGCCUGAGGUCCUGCCUGGACAACUGAAGAAGAAGGCGCUCUCUUAGCCUUUGCUUAGUCUUUGCAGCCAACCCAUGAACCCGGAGCUGGCUGUUAAAAUGAAAAAGCAGAGACUACCAAGAGAAGGCACCAGUCCAAGCCAGGAAUGAUGGCACACACCUUUAAUCCCGGCACUCAGGACGCAAAGGUACCAUUGGGUGCCUAUGGAUGGCUAUGAGCCACUGUAUGGAUCAUGGGAAUCUGGCCCUCCGAAAGAACAGAAAAUGGUCGUAACUGAUGCAUUAAAGCUUUCCUGCAGAAGGAUCCGAAUGUCCUGUGUGAUUCUUGCUGGCGAGGCAAUAGCGCGGGACAUCUGGUGCCGAAACCCGGGAACUUGUUAACAUCGCCGGCACCGCGGAGACCCCUUGGCUACAAGGCGGAUUCAGAACUGCAAGGUGGUAAAUUCGGAGAGGUAUGUCUUUUCUGGACUUUGGCUUGGGAAUGUUGCUAUUUUGGGAGGUUAGUGUAGAGGCUUCUGUGCUUUUACUAGGAGCCAUUUUGACCUUUCUCACUGUUGUAACAAUCUUAAAGAAGUCCAGAAUUACAUGUCAGAAACCGAAUGUAGUGAGAGAUGGGGCGCGCCCAACAAUAAAAUAUAAGGAAAAAGGACCUCCCGGGAUGUCUAAUGACAAGGGAGUGUGUAUAAAAAGAAAAACAGCAACAAAUAAGAAAAAAGGACCUCCCGGGAUGUCUAAUGACAAGGGAGUGAGUAAUUUGUUAGAUGAUUCUAUAAAUAAGUUUAAAGCUUUAAAUCUUGAUAGCUCUGAUGACUCUAAAAGCUCAAGAGAUAAAGUUUUAGAGGAAACAGCUCAGCUAGGUGAAAAAGAAACAAAAAAGGAGGGAGAGAAAAUAGGGGAUAACCGGUCACACCCCGGUAAAUUUAAGAGACCUGUUAAUCCAGCGGGUGUACUUCCAUCAACACCCCCAUUAUUUGGUACCAACUCCUUUUUACCAUUAGAGGAGCGGAGGAAAUUACAGAUGGCUUUCCCAGUCUUUGAUAGGGGAAAAGGCCAUGCAUGUUAUUCAACACUUCUUGGAGGCCUGGAAUGCCUGGGGCUUUAAAGCCUCAUAAACAUUGACGCUCGGGGCCAUACCGCGGCCAAGCGUCACACCUCAAAACCUGAAAGGCCAAAGGAAAUGGUAAAAUGGAAAGAUAUCUUAACUGGUCUUUGGAGAGGCCCGGAUCCUAUUCUCAUAAGAUCCAGGGGAGCUAUGUGUUUUUCCACAG